rnacentral:rRNA from 1 species
GACGAACGCUGGCGGCGUGCUUAACACAUGCAAGUCGAACGGAAAGGCCCUGCUUUUGUGGGGUGCUCGAGUGGCGAACGGGUGAGUAACACGUGAGUAACCUGCCCUUGACUUUGGGAUAACUUCAGGAAACUGGGGCUAAUACCGGAUAGGAGCUCCUGCUUCAUGGUGGGGGUUGGAAAGUUUCGGCGGUUGGGGAUGGACUCGCGGCUUAUCAGCUUGUUGGUGGGGUAGUGGCGUACCAAGGCUUUGACGGGUAGCCGGCCUGAGAGGGUGACCGGCCACAUUGGGACUGAGAUACGGCCCAGACGCCUACGGGAGGCAGCAGUGGGGGAUAUUGCACAAUGGGCGGAAGCCUGAUGCAGCAACGCCGCGUGCGGGAUGACGGCCUUCGGGUUGUAAACCGCUUUCGCCUGUGACGAAGCGUGAGUGACGGUAAUGGGUAAAGAAGCACCGGCUAACUACGUG